AUCAUCUGAGGUACUUGCUACACACCCCUGAGCAUUUGAUGACUCAGGUUCUUUGCCCUCUCUUCUCUUCUGGUUACUCUAACACUCUUUCUUGACGUGCCAUUUCUUGCCACAGUUGUAGCAUUUAACAUUCUUCUUACUUCUGGAUUUUGAUCUACCAUGAUUUUGACUCCCACUGGGGCCACGUUCCGUUGAUCUCC
rnacentral:lncRNA from 1 species